rnacentral:rRNA from 1 species
GAUCUCAAAUCAGGUAGGACUACCCGCUGAACUUAAGCAUAUCAAUAAGCGGAGGAAAAGAAACUAACAAGGAUUCCCCUAGUAACUGCGAGUGAAGCGGGAAGAGCUCAAAUUUAAAAUCUGGCGUGCCUCUGGUCGUCCGAGUUGUAGUCUGGAGAAGCGUUUUCCGUGUUGGACCGUGUAUAAGUCUCUUGGAACAGGGCGUCAUAGAGGGUGAGAAUCCCGUCUUUGACACGGACUACCAAUGCUUUGUGAUGCGCUCUCAAAGAGUCGAGUUGUUUGGGAAUGCAGCUCAAAAUGGGUGGUAAAUUCCAUCUAAAGCUAAAUAUAGGCGAGAGACCGAUAGCGAACAAGUACCGUGAGGGAAAGAUGAAAAGCACUUUGGAAAGAGAGUUAAACAGUACGUGAAAUUGCUGAAAGGGAAACGCUUGAAGUCAGUCACGUCUGCCAGGACUCAGCCUUGCUUCUGCUUGGUGUACUUUCUGGUUUGAUGGGCCAACAUCAAUUUUGACCGCUGGAGAAAGGCUUUGGGAAUGUGGCACCUUCGGGUGUGUUAUAGCCCUUUGUCGUAUGCAGCGGUUGGGAUUGAGGACUGCAGCACGCCUUUAUGGCCGGGGUUCGCCCACGUACGUGCUU